GGGUUGCAAGUUUGUAUGAAAGUCCUAUAUUUUUGAAGUAAGAGACUUGAAAUUUAAAAUCGAUGCUCUAUAGAUGAUGAGAAGGUGUCCAAAUAAUGUUUCUUUAGAAAUCAACUCCCUUUUAGAGUUAAAACGGGGGAUGGUAGGUUGACUCAUUCAUCACGAAAUCUCCGAAACUAUAACAGAUACAAACUUGACAUUUGGCAGGUACGUUCCUUAUAGGUCGUAGACAUCCGCUAAGAACGGAU
rnacentral:misc_RNA from 1 species